UACGUAGGGGGCUAGCGUUGUCCGGAAUCAUUGGGCGUAAAGCGCGCGUAGGCGGCCCGGUAAGUCCGCUGUAAAAGUCAAAGGCUCAACCUUUGAAUGUCAGUGGAUACUGCCGGGCUAGAGUCCGGAAGAGGCGAGUGGAACUCCUGGUGUAGCGGUGGAAUGCGCAGAUAUCAGGAAGAACACCGACGGCGAAGGCAGCUCGCUGGGACGGUACUGGCGCUGAGGCGCGAAAGCGUGGGGAGCGAACAGG
rnacentral:rRNA from 1 species